CCUACGGGUGACAGCAGUAGGGAAUUUUGCGCAAUGGGGGAAACCCUGACGCAGCAACGCCGCGUGAUCGAUGAAGCCCUUCGGGGUGUAAAGCUCCUUCAGUGGGGACGAAACCUGAUGGUACCAUCGGCGUAAGCACCGUCGAACCCCGUGCCACCAGCGGCGGUUAUACGGAGGAUGCGAGCGUAAUCCGGAUUUAGUGGGUUUAAAGGGUGCGUAGUCGGAAGAUCAAGUCAGCGGUAAAAUUGAGAGGCUCAACCUCUUCGAGCCGUUGAAACUGGUGUUCUUGAGUGAGUGAGAAGUAUGCGGAAUGCGUGGUGUAGCGGUGAAAUGCAUAGAUAUCACGCAGAACUCCGAUUGCGAAGGCAGCAUACCGGCGCUCAACUGACGCUCAUGCACGAAAGUGUGGGUAUCGAACAGGAUUAGAUACCCCAGUAGUC
rnacentral:rRNA from 1 species